rnacentral:misc_RNA from 1 species
GGAUUUGGAAUCCACAGCUCAGAUUCCAAUUCCAUCUCCAAAACCAAAAUCCACUUGAGAAGACAUAAGAGAUUAACAUAAUAAUAUAACACAGAACUAGAUGUACAUGAAAUAAAAGGUAAUAGAAUAAUAGCAAUAAUGAACUAGUUACAUCUUUUCACAACUUUAUUAUACCUCUAAAUUACUGAGACCCAAAAUUAUCAACACCAAAUCAUCUGCUCCCAGGUUCCAUUCCCACAAAUGUAGCAUAUUCGAGAACCGUGUAGCCUUCAUGAAAAGUCCUCCUUACAUUAGACUCAUAGCUCUCUAUUGAAUUUUAAGGUCA